rnacentral:rRNA from 1 species
GAUGAACGCUAGCGGCAGGCCUAACACAUGCAAGUCGAGGGGUAGCAGGAUUAAGCUUGCUUAAUUGCUGACGACCGGCGCACGGGUGCGUAACGCGUAUGCAACCUACCUUAUACUGGGGUAUAGCCCGGAGAAAUUCGGAUUAAUCCCCCAUAGUACUAAUGAAUCGCAUGGUUUAUUAGUUAAAGCAUUGCGGUAUAAGAUGGGCAUGCGUCCUAUUAGCUAGAUGGUGAGGUAACGGCUCACCAUGGCUACGAUAGGUAGGGGGCCUGGGAGGGUGGUCCCCCACACUUGUGCUGAGACACGGACCAGACUCCUACGGGAGGCACCAGUGAGGAAUAUUGGUCAAUGGGCGCAAGCCUGAACCAGCCAUGCCGCGUGCAGGAAGAAUGCCCUAUGGGUUGUAAACUGCUUUUAUUUGGGAAUAAACCUCUUUACGUGUAGAGAGCUGAAGGUACCAAAUGAAUAAGCACCGGCUAACUCCGUGCCAGCCGCCGCCGUAA